AACGAACGCUGGCGGCAGGCUUAACACAUGCGAGUCGAACGCGAAAGAGGGGCAACCCUUGAGUAAAGUGGCGCACGGGUGAGUAACGCGUAGGUGAUCUACCUCUGUGACUGGGAUAACCAGCCGAAAGGUUGGCUAAUACUAGAUAGAGCGCACGAGUCAUAAUGGCUGGUGCGGGAAAGGGCGGCCGUAGCAAUACGGCUGUUGCACUGAGAUGAGCCUGCGUCUCAUUAGCUAGUUGGUAGGGUAAUGGCCUACCAAGGCUUUGAUGGGGAGUUGGUCUGAGAGGACGAUCAGCCACACUGGAACUGCAACACGGUCCAGACUCCUACGGGAGGCAGCAGUGGGGAAUCUGGCGGAAUGGGCGAAAGCCUGACGCAGCGACGCCGCGUGGGUGAAGAAGGCCUUCGGGUUGUAAAGCCCUGUCGAGUGGGAAAAAUGGUAUCUGGAAUAAUACGCCAGGUAAUUGAUGGUACCACUAGAGGAAGCACCGGCUAACUCCGUGCCAGCCGCCGCCGUAAAAC
rnacentral:rRNA from 1 species